rnacentral:rRNA from 1 species
AUCAACGCUGGCGGCGUGCCUCAGACAUGCAAGUCGAACGAUUUAAGCUCCCUCGGGGGAGUGCAUAGAGUGGCGCACGGGUGAGUAACACGUAAGUAAUCUACCUUCGAGUGGGGAAUAACAGUCGGAAACGACUGCUAAUACCGCAUAAUGCAGCGGCAUCGCAAGAUGACAGUUGUUAAAGAUUUAUCGCUUGAAGAGGAGCUUGCGGCAGAUUAGCUAGUUGGUAAGGUAAUGGCUUACCAAGGCAACGAUCUGUAACCGGUCUAAGAGGACGGUCGGUCACACUGACACUGAACAACGGGUCAGACUCCUACGGGGGGGCAGCAGUCGGGAAUUUGGGCAAUGGGCGAAAGCCUGACCCAGCAACGCCGCGUGAAGGAUGAAGUAUUUCGGUAUGUAAACUUCGAAAGAAUGGGAAGAAUAAUGACGGUACCAUUUAUAAGGUCCGGCUAACUACGUGCCAGCAGGCCGCGGUAAUACGUAGGGACCAAGCGUUGUUCGGAUUUACUGGGCGUAAAGGGCGCGUAGGCGGCCUAGCAAGUCACUUGUGAAAUCUCCGGGCUUAACUCGGAACUGCCAAGUGAAACUGCUGGGCUAGAGUGCAGAAGGGGGCACUCGGAAUUCUUGGUGUAGCGGUGAAAUGCGUAGAUAUCAAGAGGAACCACCUGAGGUGAAGACGGGUUGCUGGGCUGACACUGACGCUGAGUGCGCGAAAGCCAGGGGAGCAAACGGGGAAUUAGACCCCCGGUAGUCCUGCCCUAAAUGAUGAAUACUGGUGUUGGAGUUUAUAGUGCUCCGGGUGCCGUCGCUAACGUUUUUAGUAUUCCGCCUGGGGAGUACGCUCGCAAGAAGUGAAAACUCAAAGGAAUGACGGGGACCCGCACAAGCGGUGGAGCAUGUGGUUUUAAUUCGACGCAACGCGAAGAACCUUAACCUGGACUAGAAUGUGAGGGAAUGUUGGUUAACGCCAUCAGUCCGGGAAACCGGACCCAAAACAAGGUGCUGCAUGGCUGUCGUCAGCUCGUGUCGUGAGAUGUUGGGUUAAGUCCCGCAACGAGCGCAACCCCUAUCAACAGUUGCCAUCAUUAAGUUGGGAACUCUGUUGAGACCGACGCCGGUGAUAAAUCGGAGGAAGGUGGGGAUGAUGUCAAGUCAUCAUGGCCUUUAUGUUCAGGGCUACACACGUGCUACAAUGGCCGGUACAAAACGUCGCGGAUCUCGCAAGAGGGAGCUAAUCGCAAAAACCGGUCUCAGUUCGGAUUGGAGUCUGCAACUCGACUCCAUGAAGUUGGAAAUCGCUAGUAAUCGCGCAUCAGAACGGCGCGGUGAAUACGUUCCCGGGUCUUGUACACACCGCCCGUCACAUCACGAAAGUAGGUGUGUACUAGAAGUAGCCGGGCCAACUCGCAAGAGAGGCAGGUUACCACGGUAUGAUCUAUGAUUGGGGUG